ensembl:misc_RNA Metazoa_SRP Metazoan signal recognition particle RNA
GCUGGGGGUGGUGGUGCACACCUGUAGUCCCAGCUACUUGGGAGGCUGAGGUGGGAGGAUCACCUGAGCCCAGGAGAUGGAGGUGGCAGUGAGCCGAGAUCAUGCCACUGCACUCCAGCCUGGGCAACAGAGUGAAACCCUGUCUCAA